AUUGUUAGCCGUGACCUCUCGGCCUUCUCCACUUCGCUGGGCCUCCUCUCCUCCUUCCAGCUUUGAAGUGGACGUCCCUUAUUCUAUCAUUUAUAAGUCCUUUUCUCCAUGUUUGGAUAUUUCGUAACUUGGUGGCAUGUCAAAAGUUAAUUGGAUGUGAUUUUUUUUCCCCCCUGAUACAUAAAAUAUUUAAUGCAAGUGGUAGUGUCUCCCCUUCAGACAGGGUAACUCCUCAUGGGAAACCAACCAAAAUGUUGAGACCUCAGAGUAAAAUUAGAGGGUAAAGCAGUCCCGCUGAGAAUUUUUCAAAAUCAUUUCCUCUUAUGUGAAGUUCAACUCUCAUCCAGGGCAAGGACAUAGACUCAUUUGUAUGUCCCACUUGGUAUUUAAUCCAUGCCUGGCUUCCUUGAACUGUGUGUGCUCUGAGGGCUGUUGUGUGUGUGUGUGCCACUUGCCUGAUUGCACAGGAUUACAGAGCACAGGUUUUGCUGUCCAUACACAUCAGAGAAGACAAGGCUCCUUCCUAAGCUCAUCCUUUCUCCAGCUCUGGCUUUUUUCCAGGGCUCCAAAUGGCUGUAGGUAUACAAAAGCUUUCUGCAUCUGGAAGGAGGCUGGCCACGGGGUGGUACGGGGUACUGGCAACAUCAGGACCCAGACCAGAGCUGAGUAUAUGCCUAGAUGAGUUCUGCCUUGAAGACUCUUUUCUAGUUUAGUUUUAGAAAAGGCCAAGGUUAGUUAAAUGUUUAGCUCUGAGAGUUAAUAAGACGUGGCCACAUUUCAAGCUGCUUGCUUUCUCCAUCAGCUUCUUCUUAGUUGCUGAACAGCAGUGGGAAUGAAUGCGUUGCACUUAAGCUGGAUGGAUGUGUGCACCACAGCUGUGCUGUGCAAUACUCCUGCCCACUCACGCUGUGUGUUCGGAUGCCCGCAGCCAUAGUGUCUCUAGCAGACAGCUCACAUUGCAAACAAGAUGUCUGCGGGACCCUUGACUGGCUUCUCUCAUGAUGCCCUCACCAAUGAAGGUUAUUGUGUUAGGCAAAUCCCCUUGACCUCAGGAGAACUCGGAGAGAACCACUGAGCAGCAGUGCCCCCACCCACCCCGCCCCGCUCAGCCCAGAGCUUAGCUGCUGAAAUCCCCCCAGCAACCCUGUGCUUCCUGCCCACGGUGGAGGCUCCACCCACUCAGCACACAGGGGACUCCAUGGACAGCUCUCACCAAGAUUGCUGGGAAAUGAUCCAGCGAACAGGCAAGCAACGGAAAUUGAAGUUUCUCUGCUGUGAGCAUCAUCCUGUUGUAGGCCUGGUAUAGACUGAUGCAUUCAGGACUGGACAUUUAUGGGGUUCUCUCCUACCAGAAACCCUGGGCACCAGCUGCAGAGCAAGUCCCUGGACAGCAACAAUUGGUGUAAGAGGGAAGUGUGGCCAGGGAGCUCAGGGCUGACCUCCCAACUGCUCCUUGGCCCUUCCAAUUUCAUAGUCCCAUUUUAUUUCCAAGUGGGAGAAUCUAAUGAGCAGUUAACAUUUCAUAGAAAAAAUUCAUGAUGUCACUAAUAAAUGACUCUUUGGACUUCCAGCCUUGAUAAACAUUUGAACCCCUGAGGAUUGACACUCUGUGUAGUGCAUCCCUAAGCCUCCGUUUCUCCUCACGUCAGAUGCUGGGCUCCUGGAUAAAACUGCUUACUGCCAAGUCUGAUGACCUGAGAUCUGUCCUCAGCACCCACAGGGUAGAAGGGGGGAAUUCACUUCUGCAAGUUGUCAUCUGUCUCUACACACGCACUAUAAUGCAUGGAGAGAGAGAGAGAGAGA